UCCAGCCCAUUUCUACUAGCUUUAAAUCCAUUUAGUGACAGUAUGCUUUUAACAAAUGCAUGUAAAAUUUACACAUUCUCUUCACAGAUCUGAUUUUUUUAUGUGACUCAUAUUGCGCUACACAAAUGUUAUCCAAUCAAAUACCUUCUAGAGCAAGUCCCUCCUCCAAACACCAUCUGAAAGCGACUAACAGCACAGUGUAGCUCUGUGAAGUCUCUCAGUUGGAGAUGUAAGAAUAAUAACAGAUUUACCUUUACAGAAGAUCUGAACCGCUCUGAAUGUGAAGAAGUGUCCUGAGGAGCAGCAGGUGUUGAGAGCAGAAUUACUUCAAUGCGAAACAUAAGGACUGAGGAUUUCAUGCGGAAAGUUACUUACAGAUUAAGGGAUGUGUUUGAACAGAAGCAGAGCUCUGGACGUGUGGACAGACUUUCACUGUAAUGAUGGACAUCCGCUCGUGGACAGAAGUAUAACCCCUUCUGGGCAUUGUGCUGGAGCUCGGGGGGGACCCGAAACGUGCCCAUCCCUUCAUUCACACAACACUCACUCAUAUCGCGGAGAUCUGGCUGGGAUCGAACCAGCAACCUCUGAACCGUGAGGCAGUGCUCUUACCUGUGAGCCACAGAUCUCUUGUCUGAACACGUGAAGGAACUUAUAUUUCACUAUUUACCUGCAUGUGCUUUUACAAUAAACCAGUUAAAGUUAUCA
ensembl:lncRNA